AGAAUCAGGCCUGUAUAGAGUCAGGUUUUAUAACUCAAACCAUUUCCAAUAGCUAUUUGGUAAUAGGACGAGUAAUUAAAGAGUGAGUUCAUAUAUAUGAAAUCCUGUUUAAGCUUACUUUUUCCCUUAUGAAUAUUUCUUCAUCUGAUAGGCUGAUGCUUGGGCUACUGAGAAUUUUUCCUCGGUAGCAAAAUGCUCAUCUGGCCAAAUUAUAGGACAGGUGUGCAGUUCUUAUUUAUUUAAUUUUUUCUCCUUUCUCUCUUUUUGAUACUUUUCAUGUGUAUUCACUUGGAAAAAAAUACUUUAGUCUUAAUGAUAUUAAUGUUGCAUGAUCUAUUUUCUUCUGGAGCCAUAAAAUCUGCAAGAGGUUUCCAAGUAUACAAUGAGGUUGCUGGCCUUUCAGGGCUUAACUUCGCUUAUACAGAUAACACUGCAGUAUACCAUACAAAGGUUUUUUUAUUCCCUUUUUUACCCCUUUUUUGGGAUAUUAGUUACAAAAUCUGUUUGGAGCAUAAGUGUGAAACUAACAGGAGGGGUUAGUAAGUUAAUUAGUUAAUAUGAUUCUCAAUGGAUAUGAGUUAGAGAACUCAUUGCAAUUUGCAGAGAUUUCCUAAAGACAAAAAGAAAACAAUGUUUGUUUUGAGUACUUCUCGCGUCAUUGAGGCACAAAUGUUGUACCUGCAUUAAUUAAUUUUCUUUAUAUCGAAAUUGAAUAAAUCUAAUUUUCCUCGAUAUCCAAAUGUAUUAAAGUAAUUGUGAUUGAAGUUUGUUUAUGUCUGCUUUCCAAGAUUCAUUUUUUGGUUACUAGAUAUCUCACUCCGUUUACAAGUGCUUUUUAGUUAACUAAAAAAAGGCUUUUUAUUCUUCGGCUUACAUGACUUCCUCACAAUACCAAAGUACAAGAGAAACAAAGAUUGGAGGGGCUGUGCCGCCGUUCAGUUACUCUUGGGCACUUGAGGAGGUGUGAUCAUAUGCCUCACUUCGGGAAUUGAUAUUAGGAGGUGUUAAAUGGACCGUUGGAAUUGAGUUUCGAGUCUCUGAGGGACAUAAUGAGAUGGGUUAUUGAUGAAAGGGUUUGGAGGAGAAGGUGGACAAGAAACCAGUGCAUUGGAUGCACAAUAUCAGUGAUGAACACUUUUCCUUAUCUUUGUUUAGAAAAAAUUUGAAAGAGCCACUGGUUUUGAACGUGCUUAAAUGCAAGAUUAUUUGCAAAAUUUUGUUUAAAUUUUUUAAUGUUUAGAUUUUUAUUCCAUAAAAAUUGUGAGAGGAAAUAUAUAAUGAUAGACAAAAAACUAUGUUAAACAAGUUUGGAUGGUUUAAAUUAUAGAAUUAUUUUGGUUGAUGGUA